rnacentral:rRNA from 1 species
CGUAGUUAGCCGACACUUAUUCCUGGCCUACUGUCCUUCCUCUUCGACCAGAAAAGCCUUUUACGACCCGAAGGCCUUCUUCAGGCACGCGGCGUUGCUGCGUCAGGCUUUCGCCCAUUGCGCAAUAUUCCUU